rnacentral:rRNA from 1 species
AUGGACUUCCAGGUCGUCGUCCUCGCCGGAGGCAUCUCCGAGAAGCUCUCGCCCCUCGUCUCCAAGGACGUUCCCAAGGCCCUCCUCCCCGUCGCCAACCGCCCCGCGAUCUCCUACGUGCUCGAUCUCCUCGAGUCCAGCGACCUCAAGGACAUCAUCGUGGUGGUGGAGGGUCAAGAGGCGGCCCGCCUCGUCGGAGCCUGGAUCUCUAGUGCUUACCUGGACCGCCUCGUCGUGGAGGUAGUUGCAGUUACUGAGGACAUUGGAACUGCUGGUGCAUUACGAGCUAUUUCAAAGAGACUGGUCGCAAAUGAUGUUUUGGUGAUUAGCGGCGACCUAGUAACUGAUGUACUUCCUGGGGCUGUUGCUGCUACCCAUAGAAGAAAUGGUGCAGCUGUUACUGCUUUACUAUGUUCUGUUCCUGUUAGUGGUCCUUCAGAUGCUGCUUCUUCAGGAGGGAAAGACAAGGCUAAAAAACCAUGUCGACUGAACAUAGUUGGGCUAGACAUAACAAGACAAUUCUUGUUGCAUGUUGUAUCAGGAACUGAUGUUGAAAAGGAUGUUCGAGUUUAUAAGAGAAAAAUUCGAGCUGUAGGUCAGAUGGAAAUUCGAAGUGACCUGAUGGAUGCUCAUCUUUAUGCCUUUAAUAGGACAACAUUGCAGGAUGUACUGGAACAGAAAGAAACAUACCGUAGCAUCAGACUUGAAGUUCUCCCAUAUUUAGUGAAGAGCCAGUUGAGGUCAGCUCCAUCAGGCGGUGAAGGAACAAUAGUUGAUGAAACUGGGAAUAUUGUAGUUCCGCCCAGCAGUAAUUUACAGUGCUUGUCACAACAUCGCGCAAUUGCACCAUCUGCUUUCAAGCAAGAUUUAUUACCAAGUUCAGGCGGUGGAACACAUAGGUGCUGUGUUUAUAUUGCUAGUAAAAACAAGUACUGUCACCGUUUGAACUCCAUUCAGGCGUACUGUGAUAUUAAUCGAGAUGUUAUAGGGGAAGCUAGUCACCUAUCUGGUUAUUCCUUCUCUUCACAUAAUAACAUCAUCCACCCAUCGUGUGUGCUUGGAUCGAAGACUACAGUCGGGCCACAGUGCAUGCUUGCUGAGGGUUCACAGUUAGGUGACAAAUGUGGUGUCAAGCGAUCUGUGAUUGGCCGUCAUUGUCGUAUUGGUUCGAAUGUGAAGAUUGUCAACUCUGUUGUCAUGAACCAUGUGGUUAUUGAAGAUGGCUGUCACAUCCAAGGUUCUGUUAUAUGUAAUAAUGUGCAACUUCAAGAGCGUGCCGUUCUGAAAGAUUGCCAGGUUGGAGCUGGUUAUACUGUGACUACUGGUAGUGAUCACAAAUCAGAAUCCCUGGCGAGAAAGUAG